GCAGAACUUGGCUGGACAACACUCAGAUGUCUGUUCUUGAGAACUUGACUCCGACAGUCAGGAAGCGUGUCGAGGUUCUAAGAGAGAUUCAAAUACACAGCGAUAUGGGAUUGUGAACGGUGUGGUUGAAGUUGAAGGUGCAGGGGAAGAAGUAAAAUCAGAACAAGGAGAAGAGAAAGCAGCUGAAGAGAAAGGAGUGCCAGAUUUCUGGCUUAUUGCAUUGAAGAAGAUUCUUAAAAAGAAGCCUAUGAAAGGAUCCAAAAACACAAAGCCGAUCACUAAGACCGAAGAAAGUGAGAGUUUCUUCCCUUCUUCAGUAGCUGGUUAACAAUUGAUGAUGAAUUGACUGAUGAACUCCAGGGCCAAACGAUUAUGAUAUCGGGAAUGUAUCAUUUAGCAAAACAAAUAGUGCAACCUUGAUGACUAUGUUAAUAUCUGGCCAUUCUCUUGCCCUUGAUGACUCUAGCAUGACUGGAGAAGAAACAUGGUUAAGAAAAUACUGAAAGUAGGCUCUCCUUUCAAUCUUUCUUUGGUCUU